rnacentral:piRNA from 2 species
UGACCUCUAUCUCCACUCUCAUUAA